AAUUAGCGCAUGUUGUUUAAAACCUCAUUAAUCAGUUAGAAAAUUCUAAAAUCUAUUUUCAAACACGAAAUAGCGAUGACUAUUGUAAUAUGCAAUUUAAGUGAUUUUAUUUGCUAAUGUAAUGAAAAUAUUUAAAUAAAUACCAUUUCUCAAAACCGGAUGUAGCGGAAUGCUCCGUUAGAUCUGCUGCAUUGAUUUUCCCGCCGAGUGGGUUUGAUUCUUGAUAUAUAAACUACCUAUGAGAAUGUUGCCAUACUAAUCUGUGCUUGCAUUGAAACAAACCACCUAACCAUAAAGGUAAGAG
rnacentral:lncRNA from 1 species